GACGAACGGCGGUGCAGAUCCCCGCAGCUAGGAUUUACAACCUCCCAACCGUGAGGAUGUAUACCCUCAUCUGCUCCUCAGACAGCCCUCCGGGAGGCGGUCGAACAGCCCUCCGGACGGUGUCGCGGACAGCCCUCCGGGAGGACCUUCGUAACUCGAACGGUCACUCGGACAGCCCUUCGGGAGGACCUUCAAAACUCGGACGGUCACACGGACAGCCCUUCGGGAGGCACUCACGAACUAAGACCGAAACUACGAUCUCUCUACAGAGUUGCACACAUACGGUGUCAUCUAUCCAGCAGGGCUUCGCCAUCCAGAACUAGUUCCUGCCGGAACCCAGACAGCCUUUCGGCUCUAUGAAACUAUUUCGCUGGGAGGGAGAGAAGAAGCCAGAUCAUUGCAUGGCACUUGUAUGAUAGCAAAGGGAUGAUCUUUGGGCUGCCCACUCCUCCUCUAUUUAUAGGAAAGCCAAGGGGUAGGGAUGGCUCACAAAAACCCAAAAUGCCCAUGCAAAUGUCACACAUGAAGGGCAUAAUGGGGAGGGAAGUGGAGCUCCAUGGAGCCCCACACAUGUGGCCGGCCAACCCCCUUGGGGUCUCCCAUGAGGAGCAUGCUUGGCCCCCAAGCCCUUCUAGAAGCCUUUUGGAAAUAUCCCAAAAGGUGACUCACCAUAAAAUAUCCCAAAAAGUACUUUCACUAUUCACGACGACAUUUUUCAGCGUCCGUUCGAACUGAAAAUAUUUAUGUGGGCUUACAACAUUUCCAGUACCCACCAUAAUAAUUUUCAACGCGUUCCGAAACAAUUCCGGUUUUAGUGAUUUUCAUCUGCGAAACACAUCUGAAGUGGCUCCGGCAGCUCCGGAACAUUUCCGGUUUUUAUCUCAGAAAAUUCCAAAAAGCUUCCAGAAUGAUUCUGACACCCAUCAAGAAUUAUCAGGCAUUUGCCGAAACCAAAUUGACUUAAUGGUAUAUCCCAAAACAACUUUUCGGUAUCAUCGAAACUCAUCCGAUGACCUCUCUCUGCGGUAGAUUCCGCUGUUCGAAACUUUUCCGGUGUCCGAAACUUUUUCGGUGAUUUUCUCUCAGACUCCCUGUCUAGUAUUCAACAGAUAGAUGACCCUUAAGUGUGUGACCCUAUAGGUUCGGUGAAGUAUAGACAUGACCCGGAACCCCUUCCGAUCAAUGAUCAACAUCGGAGCCGUGGACACCCAUAUUGACCCCUAUACCCACACGAAUGAAUAUUCGAGUGAACCUCCAGUUGCCGUGUGCUAUUCCUGUUGCUUCACGAUAUGUUACAAAGACCUGAGGUGAGAUUUACUUGCAUCCCCGUGGAUCAACAAUUUUUCCACUAUGCUAGUUACCUCGUUACUGGUUUUGUUCUCUUUUCUCGUUUCCGUGUUCCGGCAUCCCUGUGAUCAAAUCACACUGUGUCUGGCCAGACGAUGAUGGAUACCAUAACACCGAGAGGGCCCGAGAAUAUUUCUCCAUAGUUGGAGGAGAAAAUCCCAAUCUUGAGCUAUCAAGUUACUUGACACACUUUUCCAUGAACCCGUAAGCCGUCGUAAUAGCCACCCAUUUACGGAUGACGUUUAACAAACCCCAAAGUUCAUGAAGCAAGCAUGACGAAACUCGAUACUCUCAUGGUCUAAGGAAUCAUGCAAACGUUAACCAUCUCUGUGUUAUUUACCAUUAACUUGUGACGAAUGAAUCUCAUAGCAUAACAUCAAACCGGGUCGAUUCAACACAAAUGUUCUCUUAACAUUGUGCCCUCAAAGUUGUUGGCAUAGACAUGCCCAUGAUCAGGAAAACGGAACCAUCAUGCAACACUUGAGCUAGUCUUAGAGGCCAAACUAGGAAUACUUCUUACCGUUUAUUAUUCCACACGUGCAUAUGAGUCUUCCUUCGAGCCUCGUGGAUAUUGCAGACUCGAGAAUCAUUGCAGUUAUAGCAUGGAACAUAAACAUAAUUAUGAACUCAGAGAUAAAUAAUAUCAUUUAUUAUUGCCUCUAGGGCAUAUCUCCUACAGACUCACACUUGCACUAGAGUCAAUAAUCUAGUUAAUGCUAAUGCACCUUACACCUAUGGCAUGCCGGUGUAAAAAAUGCUUCGCAUGUGGUAUAGCCCGAUGUCCAUGAGAUCUGACAACUUCAGCUCCGUGUCUAUCUCUGCAUAUCCUUGCGUUUUCACGCUUUCAAAAAAUUCAUAUUUUGUGUGGACUUGGCUUUUUAUAAAUGUGAAUCAUAGGUUGAACUUGGAUUCCUUAGACUGAGUUAUGGAGAAACUACCUGAAGUAGUGUCCCAUUGGCAAAAGCCAUCUUGGAACCAUACUAAGUUCAUGAAUGAACUAUAUGAUUCAACAUCUUGUUUGUCGCUUCUAAAGUGUCAACAUACUUAGUCAUUUGUUAUAGAAUUCGCCACAGUAUCCUGUUGGGAACAAUUUCCAACUACCGUGCCACCAUAUUGUGUAUUACACAAAACCCUUAACUUAAAUCGGAAAUCGCAUGGAGAAAAGAUGAAGACUGUAUCGAUGUAACAUUUUACAACGAACUCUUCAUGAUCUCCGCUUGCGAGAAAACAUAUCAUCAGUACUUACUCUAGUACUCAAUGACAUCUUUCACUGUUGGCCCACGAUCAGUACUUUGAUCACUUUAGUAUCCAUACUCGCAACACCUUGGGAGUAUUGGACAUAUCUGUUUGUUUUACAUACCAUGGAAUACAUGAUUAAUCCAAACACAAAAGUGUGUGGAAUCUGCAUCAUGUAUUUUGCUCAUCAGUGUUUUGGGACACCGAGUCUUGCAAAAAACUCUUCCAUGUGACUCCGGCAAGAAUCACUCCUUGGCGGUUUUAAAUGCUAAAAGGUUUUAGCACCUUGUCAAUAUGUAUUCAUUGCUUAGCCCUAUUAGGUAAAUCUAUCUCCAUAGAUCAUUAUGCCUAAUAUUGAGGCUAUUUAGCCUAAGCACUUCAUCAAAAAACUAUUUUCAAAUGAAAUCCUAAUUUGUGUCAAGAAAUUUAUUUCCAAUUAACAAUGUGUCAAGCACACAAGGUUUUUAGAAAUAAUAUUACGCUCCCACUUACUUUCUUGAAUUACAAGUAUCUGCGUUACCCAUUGAUGAAGUCAAACCCCUUUGACCAUUUCAUCAAAGCACGAAGAUUCCAACUCCAUUUUGCUCUCUUCUGUCCAUCGCUGGAACUCUGAAGUUUGCACCCUUACUAGCAUCCUCUGGAUAGACAAAAUGCCUUGGACUGUAACACAUGCAAGUCCUUGAUUUCAUUUCCAUCGGACGGAAAUCCUAUUGUCAUCCAUGUUUCAUAUCUCAUGAUUGAAAUAUGUAUUAAUUGCUAGUUCAACCCGAACCGACUUUGAGCAUCACUACGAUGAAAACAACCUCACCGUAGUCAACUCUUGAACUUGUUAUUUCAACAAGUCGAACUUUAUGGAUAAAACAUUUUUAUCCGUAUAGGUUUUAAGUUCCAUAAAUAUUCGUUAGACUCUAAGUCUUCCGAAAGGUGUAUCAAGGUUUUAAUCUUGAAUCACUUAUAUGGAAACUAACUCGGGUUGUAUUGGCAUUUAGCCAAUUCCGGAGUCAGGGCCCAUCAACGCUUCCUUGUGUAUCGUAGGUAUAAUGUUGUCUAACAACAAUAUCUCGUUUGCGCACCUGAGAGGUUUGCACGAGCCUUGCCUACGUGGUUCAACUGCAAGUUCGACCGAAGUUCAUACAUUUUAUUGUAGAGACUUCCCUAUCAGUCGCAGUAGGAAACUCUGGAAUUACUUCCAAGGUCUCUUUCCUUUGAUCUGAUGACGAAGAUACUAUUUAUCUCGUCGAGUUGCACUAUUCUCCCACUCACCUUUUUGAAAGAACCAUUCUCUUUAAAAGCAUACCGUUUCGUGGCAAAACUAUUUGCCUCGGUAUAGUGAGGGAGGAGUACCCAAUGACUUGGGAUAACCUACAAAGUAGCACUUGUCUGAUUUGGAAUAGGUUUGUAACCUUUUACACAAGCCCCAUAUUCCAAAUGUUUAAGAAAAGAUAUAACAUGGUUGGGCGUACCAUGCCAUGGCGUCAUUUCAACAGACCCGAUGGAGCUCUUUUCAAUGUAAAAGUCGCAGUCUCUAAAGCAUCACUCUUUAAAAGGGAUAAUGGCAAAUUUAUUUAUGUCAUCUUUGAUCUUACCAUGUCAUAAAUGGUUUGAUUACAUCUUCACAGACUUUCCACUUGCAGUGGUAUUCUGGGAAGUGCAAGUUAUGAAACCCCUUUCACAACUCAUCAGACAUUCGCUAAACUUGUAACUCAAAUAUUCCUUUCUGCAAUCAAAUUGUAGAAACAUAAUUUUCUUGUUACAAUAACUUCUACUUCAUUUCUGAAAACCUUUCGAAUGAUUUCAAAAGAUCCAGACUUACGUCUCAUCAAGUAAAUAUCCAUAUAUCUACUUGAGCCAUUUCUGAAGAUAGAUAAAUCCACUACUUGCAACAUUUAUCAGACUACACACAUCAAAUGUAUGAUCACCAAUAAGUUUGUUGUUCAUUCUUUAUUUCCUGUGAACGGUAUUUCAGUCACUUUGCCUUACGGAGGAAAGUUGCAAGUGUCAGAUGAUACAAAAUCAAACGACUUCAAAAUCCAUCAUAAUGGAAUUUUCCAUGCGGGUUUCCCCAAAUGUGACCAAAUGUAGUGCCACACUUGUGUGCUAUUCUUUUAGUCUUGCGACAUUUAGCGUCAGUGUUAUGGAUGUAUCAUAUUACCAUAAAUAUUCAUAACAUACAUCCCAUCUUGGAUGGAAGCAUGGCCCUUCAUGUUAUUCAUAAUACUGAACAACAAUUGUUGUUUUUAUGAAUAACCUCUCUUGCAAAAACAUUGUGCAAUGGGCUAGAGUGUAUGAAACUCUAAAAUGAAUUAUGAAAAUAAACCUAGAGGUAAUGUAUUAUUAUCAAUAUUCAUAACAUACAUCUCAUUCAUAAUGAAAGUAUGGACCUUAUGUUAUUCAUAACACCGAACAUGAAAAGUUCUCUUAUGAACAACCUUCUUGCAAGAUACCUUAUGCAAUGGGCUAGAGUGUGAAACUCUAAAUGAAUUAUGAAAAUAAAUACAGACGGUAAUACACCGAUGGAAAGUAUACUAACAUUUACUAUGUUCCCUGUGUAUACCUAAACCUCAUUCCUGGCUAGUCUUUCAGGCCAUAGCAGUUCUUACAUCGAGUUGCAACAGAAUGCAAUCGAGUGGGUAUCUUUGUGAUUAACUCACAAUACCCAAAACUCAAUGAUUAACAAUUUAAUCAUAAUUCCCAAGAACUAUAUCUUUGACCAGCCUUCUAUACAUCAAAAACUUGUAUGCCAUUCAUACAUGAGCUGGAUAUUCCAGUCUUCUUUCUUUUUGCCUUUAUACUUCUAACAGUUUAACUUUUAGUAUUUCUCAUACUCUCAGAAGAAGCACCCAACUUAAGAGUGGCGUUAGCCCCGGACUUCCUAGGCGUGAAAGUCUCACUAACACCCUUCGGACACUUCCUUUCUGUUUAAGUUGUUGUUUUAUUCACCUUUCAUCAUAUGACAGGCGUUCUUCUGGAUCCCUUUCCCAACAGUCAAAUGCAUAGUAAACACUUUUACUAAUACUUGCAAACAAACAUUACUUUGGAUAUUUCAUAUCUUUCAGCCUUUGUUUGUAUCUAAAAAUUAAUUUUCAGUUCCAUGAAUAUCAUAUAACUGUCCCAACUUUCGAAGUUUGGGUUUCAUGGAAGCAAACAUAUUCCACUUGACCGUAACAGAAUUCUAGCUUUUGGAUCGAAGGACGGGAGUCACAUGAUCCAUAGCAUUAGCGGGAGGAUACGGAAAGCAUGCGAUAGGACAAAGUCCUUCUCGACACUUUUGAGGACAAUCCUCACAUUACGUUACCAAUCGUAAAGUUUUUAACCAGAUAUUUAACAGCUAUUCAAUUUUAACAGGGAAGGUGGAAAUGCGAGCCAUUAUUCUACAACUAUUUUGCAAGAAACACUUAGACAGUGUUCAUAAUUAAUUGCACUGAGAAUUAAGCAUGUUAAUUCAACAGUGCGCUCCCACUCAAAUCAAUAUCUCUCAUAAUUAAUUUUGAGUGAUACAAGAUCCAGACUUCAACUCAUCGCCAUAGAAUCAUCAUCUCAUAACGGGAAUUUUAAUCGGUAGGCCAACUUACCGAUCACAUCUCUAUGUGACUCUUGCUCAUCUUUCGAUGCGUGUGUUCCGAGCUCAGGACGAUCCUGCCAUGAACGUCAAGACAACCAAGUGAUCUUGCUGCGAGGUCUGACCUCACCCGCCUCACACUUCUCUAAUCGUUCGUACCCAUGCAUCCAUGGCGCACCCCGAAAAGAUAGGUGCCGUGACGGUGCUACACUUGGGAGAACACUAACUACUUGAUAUUUUAGUGAGAGAUCACCCUAAUAAAAGCGACUACCACGCAAUAAAGAAGGGUGCAUCAUAAGGGAUAAACAUCUAAGGCAAUUCAUAAUAGCAUGAUAUGGUAUAGCCCUUUCUGAUGGAGAAGUCUUUCAUUUCUUCGUCUUCGGCAUUUGCGUCGGUGUUCACCUUCGUGAAGAUUUCCACCACCUUGUCGGUGCACCAGAUAAUAUCGCUAUCUCCAUAGCUAAUAAAAUAAGUGCAUUACUUAAGGUUGACACGCAGGUCACUAAAGUGACAAUCAUAUGGCUCCAGCCAUCAUGCCGAAUCAUGACACGCAGGUCAUGUUAAUCAAUUUACAUCAUAUAGUCAUCUCAUACAUAAUCAAAUUGAAUAUGAGCAUUGGUAUACCACAUCACAUGCACAUGCAAACCCUCCUGCAAAACAGAAGUAAGACGUUUCUAAUCGGUUCAUGCAAACUUGUUUUUCGUGGCUUCUAAGGUUUCGACUUAAACCACAGCUACCAACGUUUUAUCAUCAAGUAUGAUUAUUCAAGUUGCUAGAUUAACAUCUCGGGGUGUAUGAAACACGAGAUAAUUAAAUCUCGAGCCCCAUACUAAACUUCAUCAUAUGCAUGACCCCCGUGCAGAUCAUAUCUGCAAUGCCCUUUCAUCUGCGAAUUCCAUCUUUCUUUUGACUACGGCAGAACCCAAAGAACUGAUAGCACUUCCAUGAUCAAUCAGGAUCACGGAUUGCCAGAACUUUGUCAAAUUCCACCAUGCUGUCUCGAGAUUGAGCAAACGCAAAUUCUAGGGAAGCAACAAGAACGUCGGGUAACAGAUUUCAUCUGUCACCCGCAUAAAUAAUUUUCAGCAAUAGAUCUCAUCUACUCCAAAAUUAUAUUAUGCAACACCCAUACAUCUCCAUGUAUUCUAGAUCGUAACCUGCAUCUAUGCAUAGCACGGCUCUUGAUGCCACUGUAGGGGAACGCAGCAGAAAACAAAAAUUUUCCGACCUACGCACCAGCCCAGGACCACUAUGGAGACUGCAUACAUGGUUUGAUCUUUUUCGUUACCGACUCGUAGCGCAGCGGGAAGUAGAGUCGAUGACGAACGGCGGUGCAGAUCCCCGCAGCUAGGAUUUACAACCUCCCAACCGCAAGGAUGUAUACCCUCAUCUGCUCCUCAGACAGCCCUCUGGGAGGCGAUCGAACAGCCCUCCGGACGGUGUCGCAGACAGCCCUCUGGGAGGACCUUCGAAACUCGAACGGUCACUCGGACAGCCCUUCGGGAGGACCUUCAAAACUCGGACGGUCACAUGGACAGCCCUUCGGGAGGCACUCAUGAACUAAGACCGAAACUACGAUCUCUCUACAGAGUUGCACACAUACGGUGUCAUCUAUCCAGCAGGGCUUCGCCGUCCAGAACUAGUUCCUGCCGGAACCCAGACAGCCUUUCGGCUCUACGAAACUAUUU
rnacentral:lncRNA from 1 species